AAUCAACGCUGGCGGCGUGCCUAACACAUGCAAGUCGCACGAGAAAGGGGAGCAAUCCCUGAGUAAAGUGGCGCACGGGUGAGUAACACGUGAAUCAUCUACCUCCGAGUGGGGAAUAACUGAGAGAAAUCUUAGCUAAUACCGCAUAACACUUACGAGUCAAAGCAGCAAUGCGCUUGGAGAGGAGUUCGCGGCCGAUUAGUUAGUUGGCGGGGUAAUGGCCCACCAAGACGAUGAUCGGUAUCCGGCCUGAGAGGGCGCACGGACACACUGGAACUGAAACACGGUCCAGACUCCUACGGGAGGCAGCAGUGGGGAAUUUUGCGCAAUGGGGAAACCCUGACGCAGCAACGCCGCGUGGA
rnacentral:rRNA from 1 species